rnacentral:rRNA from 1 species
ACGCACGCUGGCGGCGUGCUUCACCCAUGCAAGUCGCACGGAAAGGCCCUGCUUUUGUGGGGUGCUCGAGUGGCGAACGGGUGAGUAACACGUGAGUAACCUGCCCUUGACUUUGGGAUAACCUCAGGAAACUGGGGCUAAUACCGGAUAGGAGCUCCUGCUGCAUGGUGGGGGUUGGAAAGUUUCGGCGGUUGGGGAUGGACUCGCGGCUUAUCAGCUUGUUGGUGGGGUAGUGGCUUACCAAGGCUUUGACGGGUAGCCGGCCUGAGAGGGUGACCGGCCACAUUGGGACUGAGAUACGGCCCAGACUCCUACGGGAGGCAGCAGUGUGGAAUAUUGCACAAUGGGCGGAAGCCUGAUGCAGCAACGCCGCGUGCGGGAUGACGGCCUUCGGGUUGUAAACCGCUUUCGCCUGUGACGAAGCGUGAGUGACGGUAAUGGGUAAAGAAGCACCGGCUAACUACGUG